GCCGCCGUGACCCUGCUGGAGUCCGGGGGGGAGCUCCAGCCCCCCGGGGGGUCCCUGCGCCUCCUCUGCCGAGGGUCCGGGUUCAGUUUUGGGGAUUAUGGAAUGUGCUGGAUCCGCCAGAGACCCGGGCAGGCUUUGCAAUACGUCGCAGGCAUCUACUUCAAUAGUUCCAACACCUACUACGCGCCAUCGUUCAAGGGUCGGUUCCGGAUCUCCAGGGACAACGGGCAGAGCUCGGUGAUGCUGACCAUGAACAACCUCAAGGACGAGGAUUCCGCCAUUUAUUUCGGCACACCCGGGCAGGUGCUGGAAUUUGUCGCAAGGAUCUACUACAAUGGUGCUUACACCAACUACGCGCCGUCAUUCUAUGGCCGGUUCAGGAUCUCCAGGGAGAAUGGGCAGAGUUCGGCCUCCGGUCGGCCGUGA